rnacentral:rRNA from 1 species
UACGAAGGGGGCUAGCGUUGUUCGGAAUCACUGGGCGUAAAGCGCGCGCAGGCGGAUCGAUAAGUCGGGGGUGAAAGCCCGGGGCUCAACCUCGGAACUGCCUUCGAGACUGUCAGUCUCGAGUCCGGGAGAGGGGAGUGGAAUUCCUAGUGUAGAGGUGAAAUUCGUAGAGAUUAGGAGGAACACCAGUGGCGAAGGCGGCACCCGGGCCCGUUCCUGACGAUCAGGUGCGAAAGCGUGGGGAGCAAACAGG